rnacentral:rRNA from 1 species
UCCCAGCAGUCCAAGUCGCAGCCACAAUUAUUGGGUCUAAAACAUCCGUAGCUUGCUUUUCAAGUCUUCUGUGAAAUCUGGCCUCUUAAGGGUCGGGCGCGCAGAAGAUACUGUUUAGCUAGAGACCGGGAGAUGUAAGAAGUACGUAUAGAGUAGCGGUAAAAUGCGUUGAUCCUAUAUGGACUAACGAUAGCGAAGGCAUCUUACAAUAACGGAUCUGACAGUGAGGGAUGAAGGCUAGGGGCGCAAAUUG